UAGUGUCUCACAAAGGUGCCUGUAAUCUCAACUUUUGGUUAUCACUUAUUGAAAAUCUGAUAUAUAUAUAUAUAUAUGGAUUAGGGAGUCGUAGGCAGUUGUCUGAAAAAUGAUAAGAACUCGGGCCGAAUGACGGCACCACUAAAGUUAUUGCCAACAUACAAUUUCAAAAAAUUUUAUUAUAAAACUUUAUUAUAAAACAAAAAGAUGACAGCAACUCAAUAUAUAUUUCUUCUGUCUUCCCUGAUAGAAUUGCAUAUACCAAUGGAAAACUCUAUAACCAAAUAUUGAAAUCUUGGAAGAUUCCAGGUGCAGAAUAAACAUUUUCUGAAGAUUUGGAGCUAAAUAAAAAUAAUAUACAGGAUUUCAAUAUAGUUGAAGAUGAGCUAGUAUUUGAUGGUAUGGAGGUGUUAAGUGCUGAUGAUAGUAAUGAUUUGGAUAUGGAAUAUGAAGUACCAAAAAGUAGAGAAAGUAUGCCAGGUAGCUGGAAAAGAAAUGUCAAUCAGAAAUUAAGAAUGAAAGGAGACCCAUAUUUAGGAUAUAGCAGGGGCUUUACCGCCACCACGACCACCGCCGCUACCACCACGACCGCCGCCUCCGCCACCACGACCGCCGCCUCCGCCACCACGACCGCCGCCUCCGCCACCACGACCGCCGCCUCCGCCACCACGACUGCCGCCGCCUCCACCACCAUAGUCGUAAAUAUACGUUGGCAUCUAAACAUAAGUUAAAUUAUAGGCAUAAAGUUUAUAUAAUAAAUGAGACAAAAUAUUUCAAUAUUUAUGCACUAUACUACAAUAAGUUAGUUAUUUAUAUCAAAUUAAUGUUGUUAUUUUGGAAUAUAAAUAUUACGAUGAAUAAUUUCAAUUUCAAAAAUAAAAAUAAUAAAUUUAACAAUAUUUACAACA